GGUACGUAGUUAGCCGGGACUUAUUCCUGAGGUACCGUCAUUAUCGUCCCUCAGAAAGGAUUUACAACCGAAGGCCUUCAUCAUCCACGCGGCGUUGCUGCGUCAGGGUUUCCCCCAUUGCGCAAUAUUCCUC
rnacentral:rRNA from 1 species